UUGGAGGGCAAGUCUGGUGCCCGCAGCCGCGGUAAUUCCAGCUCCAAUAGCGUAUAUUAAAGCUGUUGCAGUUAAAAAGCUCGUAGUUGAAUUUCGGGGUUAGUAGGUUGGUCAUGCCUCUGGUAUGUACUGGUCUCACUGAUUCCUCCUUCCUGAUGAGCCGUAAUGCCAUUAAUUUGGUGUUGCGGGGAAUUUGGACUGUUACUUUGAAAAAAUUAGAGUGUUUAGAGCAAGCUAACGCUUGAGUACAUUAGCAUGGAAUAAUGAAAUAGGACGUUCGAUCCUAUUUUGUUGGUUUCUAGGAUUGACGUAAUGAUUAAUAGGGAUAGUUGGGGGCAUUAGUAUUCAAUUGUCAGAGGUGAAAUUCUUGGAUUUAUUGAAGACUAACUACUGCGAAAGCAUUUGCCAAGGAUGUUUUCAUUAAUCAAGAACGAAAGUUAGGGGAUCGAAGACGAUCAGAUACCGUCGUAGUCUUAACCAUAAACUAUGCCGACUAGGGAUCGGAUGAUGUUAAUUUUUUAAUGACUCAUUCGGCGCCUUACGGAAACCAAAGUGUUUGGGUUC
rnacentral:rRNA from 1 species